UGGUGGAGUGAUUUGUCUGGUUAAUUCCGAUAACGAACGAGACCUUAACCUGCUAACUAGUCGUCUCUCGUCAGAGAGUCGGACUUCUUAGAGGGACUUUGGGGCUACUCCAAGGAAGUUUAAGGCAAUAACA
rnacentral:rRNA from 1 species